rnacentral:rRNA from 1 species
AUUGAACGCUGGCGGAAUGCUUUACACAUGCAAGUCGAGCGGCAGCGCGGCCUUCGGGCUGGCGGCGAGCGGCGAACGGGUGAGUAAUGCAUCGGAACAUGCCCAGUCGUGGGGGAUAACACUUCGAAAGAAGUGCUAAUACCGCAUACGUCCUGAGGGGGAAAGCGGGGGAUCGCAAGACCUCGCGCGAUUGGAGUGGCCGAUGUCAGAUUAGCUAGUUGGUGGGGUAAAGGCCUACCAAGGCGACGAUCUGUAGCUGGUCUGAGAGGAUGAUCAGCCACACUGGGACUGAGACACGGCCCAGACUCCUACGGGAGGCAGCAGUGGGGAAUUUUGGACAAUGGGGGCAACCCUGAUCCGGCCAUUCCGCGUGAGUGAAGAAGGCCUUCGGGUUGUAAAGCUCUUUCGGCAGGAACGAAACGGUGGGCUCUAACAUAGUCCGCUAAUGACGGUACCUGAAGAAGAAGCACCGGCUAACUACGUG